rnacentral:rRNA from 1 species
UACGUAGGGUGCGAGCGUUGGCCGGAAUUAUUGGGCGUAAAGAGCUCGUAGGCGGUCUGUCGCGUUGUUCGUGAAAACCGGGGGCUUAACCCUCGGCGUGCGGGCGAUACGGGCAGACUUGAGUACUGCAGGGGAGACUGGAAUUCCUGGUGUAGCGGUGGAAUGCGCAGAUAUCAGGAGGAACACCGGUGGCGAAGGCGGGUCUCUGGGCAGUAACUGACGCUGAGGAGCGAAAGCGUGGGGAGCGAACAGG